UUCCACCUUAGGGGCUACAAGGGCCCCUCCUGCCUUGUCACCAACUCAUUUGCUAAAGUUAGAGAGCUCACGAAUGUUUUCCAUUCUCAUAGUGUUUUGAACUUCAUCUUUGUUACUUGGGCUGUUUAUAGCUUCCCUCUUGAGUUACAGUAUCAUCUUCCUCCAAGGAGUUAGAGUUUUCCAGUUUAAAACAAAAAGAAAAGGGAAAUGUACCAGUUUCCUUUGUGCUUCUCAUUUCUCCUCUGUUGACACAUUUCCUGCGAGGCUUUUUCUCUGCCCUGAAAUGCUGUUAGUGCAUGGAAUCUCUGUUGGCGUUACUUUAAUCAUAGUUACUUGCAGUCUUCAGAAGCCUAUUUUUAAAAGCAGAAGCAAGAAACAAAAACAAAACAACCCUCUCUCUUUUCUCACAUUUCACCUUUCUGUGUUGAUCAAGUUUGUCUUCCACAUUCAGAUGUGAGGAAAUCGUGAUUUGUUAUCUGCACCACGACUGAAUUACACAUAUAUUAUCUUUAUCAUUUUGAAACACUGCAGUUUACCAUGGAAUACUGUAUAUAUUUCUUGCCAUAAUGGUAAAUGACUGAUUGAUAUAUUUAAGAGUUAAUAAAUUUGUGAUUUCUGCUGACACCGAGUCCAUCUUUAUUUCUUAGGAAGAGGAACCAUGUUUGUGCAUGCUGGUGAGGGCCACGGGCAGUGUGGCCUGCUAUGAUUUCAUUUGGUACCUAACAAUUUGCAUUUGGCAACCACAGUAUGUUAGUUGUUCUCUGUGCACACAACAGUGGUCUCUCCAGAGGGAAAAUUUUGCUGAGAACAAAAUAGUUAACUAGGAGUCCUAUGACCCAUCCUUCACCUGGUUACCAGAAUGCUCCCUGGUAGUCCAUAUCUGUCCAUAGAACAUAUCAGUGUUUUCUUCUCCAGCACACACACAGGCACCACUCCCUGCAGCCCAACGCCUUGAACUGGAGAGGAUGGAAGACCUAGCUUCUUUCUAUUUGCUGAAAGCACCACAUGCAAUUUCUUUCCCAUUUCUUUGUGGUGUUUCUUUCUUAGCCAGACUCUUCUCCCCUUGCUUUAUGGACUCAUCAGUGAGGUGAAUUAGAAGAUCAGCACUCCUGUAAAUCUUAGGCAGUGCUCUGUGUACUCUUUUCCAACCAUGGUUGCAGAAUAAUUAGUGUUCACCUCUCUGGCCAGCCACUAUGUUUGAAAAAUAAAUCUUUAUUUGUAUUUACUGGUAUAUAAU
rnacentral:lncRNA from 1 species